rnacentral:rRNA from 1 species
GCGGCGGACGGGUGAGUAACACGUGGAUAACCUACCUAUAAGACUGGGAUAACUUCGGGAAACCGGAGCUAAUACCGGAUAAUAUAUUGAACCGCAUGGUUCAAUAGUGAAAGACGGUUUUGCUGUCACUUAUAGAUGGAUCCGCGCCGCAUUAGCUAGUUGGUAAGGUAACGGCUUACCAAGGCGACGAUGCGUAGCCGACCUGAGAGGGUGAUCGGCCACACUGGAACUGAGACACGGUCCAGACUCCUACGGGAGGCAGCAGUAGGGAAUCUUCCGCAAUGGGCGAAAGCCUGACGGAGCAACGCCGCGUGAGUGAUGAAGGUCUUCGGAUCGUAAAACUCUGUUAUUAGGGAAGAACAAAUGUGUAAGUAACUAUGCACGUCUUGACGGUACCUAAUCAGAAAGCCACGGCUAACUACGUGCCAGCAGCCGCGGUAAUACGUAGGUGGCAAGCGUUACCCGGAAUUAUUGGGCGUAAAGCGCGCGUAGGCGGUUUUUUAAGUCUGAUGUGAAAGCCCACGGCUCAACCGUGGAGGGUCAUUGGAAACUGGAAAACUUGAGUGCAGAAGAGGAAAGUGGAAUUCCAUGUGUAGCGGUGAAAUGCGCAGAGAUAUGGAGGAACACCAGUGGCGAAGGCGACUUUCUGGUCUGUAACUGACGCUGAUGUGCGAAAGCGUGGGGAUCAAACAGGAUUAGAUACCCUGGUAGUCCACGCCGUAAACGAUGAGUGCUAAGUGUUAGGGGGUUUCCGCCCCUUAGUGCUGCAGCUAACGCAUUAAGCACUCCGC